rnacentral:rRNA from 1 species
AUUGAACGCUGGCGGCAGGCCUAACACAUGCAAGUCGAGCGGAUGAAGGGAGCUUGCUCCUGGAUUCAGCGGCGGACGGGUGAGUAAUGCCUAGGAAUCUGCCUGGUAGUGGGGGAUAACGUCCGGAAACGGGCGCUAAUACCGCAUACGUCCUGAGGGAGAAAGUGGGGGAUCUUCGGACCUCACGCUAUCAGAUGAGCCUAGGUCGGAUUAGCUAGUUGGUGGGGUAAAGGCCUACCAAGGCGACGAUCCGUAACUGGUCUGAGAGGAUAAUCAGUCACACUGGAACUGAGACACGGUCCAGACUCCUACGGGAGGCAGCAGUGGGGAAUAUUGGACAAUGGGCGAAAGCCUGAUCCAGCCAUGCCGCGUGUGUGAAGAAGGUCUUCGGAUUGUAAAGCACUUUAAGUUGGGAGGAAGGGCAGUAAGUUAAUACCUUGCUGUUUUGACGUUACCAACAGAAUAAGCACCGGCUAACUUCGU